rnacentral:misc_RNA from 1 species
UACGUAUGGGGCAAGCGUUGUUCGGAUUCAUUGGGCGUAAAGGGCACGCAGGCGGAUUGCUAAGUUGGAUGUUUAAUCCCCAGGCUUAACCUGGGAUCAGCAUCCAAAACUGGCAAUCUAGAGUACCAGAGGGGAAAGCGGAAUUCUCGGUGUAGCGGUGGAAUGCGUAGAUAUCGAGAGGAACACCAGUGGCGAAGGCGGCUUUCUGGCUGGAUACUGACGCUCAGGUGCGAAAGCGUGGGGAGCAAACAGG